GUGGCCCUCUCUGAGGAAUUUGCCCAAGAGGGUUCCGGUGAUUUCAUACUGAGCGAUUUCCUCUGGGAGAACUGCCUUGGGGACCUGGACUUUCCUCUUGGCCCAGAAUCAUCCCUCUUCGGAGCUAAGGAUGAAGAUUUUCUCUUAUUGGUACAAGAAAUUCUGCUUUCACUAUCAAAUCUGGAAGAGAAGAUAGUCUAGAACCUGAAGAAGGAGUUCAUAGAAGACAUCUCUGCAAGGAACCUUACAGCCAAAAUGGAGAAGGAUUUUACUAGGUCACCAAAGACUACAGAACUGGGAAUCAAUACUGUGUUCCAAGGCAGAAGAGCAGUAAAGUCUAGGCAAUGGGGGUUAAGUGACUUGUCCAGGGUCACACAGGUAAGAAAUGUCUGAGGCCAAAUUUGAACCCAGGACCUCCCAUUUCUAGGUCUGGUUCUCAAUCCACUGAGCCACCCUGCUGUCCCCUUGAGGUUAAAUCAGGUGGGAAUAUAAUUGGAAGGAAUACUAUGGAGAAAA
rnacentral:lncRNA from 1 species